CAAUAAACCCCCAUCCAUUUAAUUCUGUCCUUAUUGCUUUUUGCAUAAGUGUAUUUUAUCUAUGUUUUAAAUAUAAAAAUGGACGAAGCUAACGGCCUUUAGUUCGUAUUCCGUCUUUUGGCGGAUAGGGAGACCGGGGACGGUGGGCUUGCCAAAGAAAGAAGUCGACGCGGCGGCUUAGGAGAAGAAAAAGUUGGCCCAAACUUUCGCUCCGUGUUGCUUAGCGAAAGUUUAGCACCGGCGGAUGCGCUCGUCCUCGGCGGGGCGAGCGUCCGCACCAACAUGUUGAUGUGCUCCGUGGAGAAAGUGGAUUUUAACAUCACUUCGCGUACUGUCGCUCGCCUCGUCUUUGAGGCCGAGAACGACCAACGGAAUGGGGGCAACUCGUCCAACGGCAGGUGUUUUACCGCUGAGCUCGCAAAGAUGAGCCACGUAAAGCAAAUAGGACUGCAGAGGAACCAUGAAGAAACGAGGUGUGGAAAGACUGGCGUCCUGAAUAUGCCUCGCUCUCAGAGGAAUUGAUAUUUCUCCGGAAUGAGUCAUUUCUUGUGGGUCGUAUAGCUGACAUUCUCAGAGAUGACCAUGUCCUCCUCUCGCCCCGUCCCGACCCUGACCAUUCUGCCCCCAUCCUCCGAUACCGAGUCCUGGUCCCGCUCACCCAGCCCCCGGCCCACUCGUUCCGGCCGCCACCCGCGUAUCUACCGUGGCCGAAGCCGAACCAAAAAGCGGAGUUCCGACAAGCGAUCUGUAACCCCGCAGAUUGUAAUUGAGGAGGAAAUUACCCCUGCACUCUCCCCACUUGUGGCCCCUGAUUCCAGGAGGGAGGAUCCGGGUCAGGACCUCCUUCUGCCACCUUCCCAAUCUUGGUCACGUAGUCCUUCUCCCAGCCGGCGCUCCCGGUGGUCCCUUAGGAGCCUGCUGGGAAGGGAUUCUGACUGGGAAAGCUGCAGCACCGCCAGUAACUCUCCACGCAGCACUCCGGGCAGCUCACCCUCCCUGCGGCGACGGGUCCUGGGGGGCGGCCGGACGAGCGAGAACGAGGGAGUGGGGGACAAAAGCAGCGGAGGGGGAGGAGGUGGUUCGGACAGCCCCCUGCCGUCAAUACCGUCGGCGUCCUCACUCUCGUCAGCCUAUCCGAUCGCUUCCCGACAUUUCAGGAGCAAUGCAAAGAAAAUGCAAAGCUGGUAUAAUGUCCUCAGCCCCACGUACAAGCAACGAAACGAGGACUUCCGUAAGAUCUUCAAGAAGCUUCCAGACACGGAACGACUCAUCGUGGACUACUCGUGCGCUCUGCAGAAGGACAUCCUGCUCCAAGGCCGCCUUUAUCUGUCUGAGAACUGGCUUUGUUUCUACAGCAACAUAUUCCGCUGGGAAACCACUAUUACUAUCCUGCUGAAAGACGUAACCUCAAUGACCAAGGAGAAGACUGCCAAGCUCAUUCCAAACGCCAUCCAGAUCAGCACCGACAAUGAGAAGCACUUCUUCACUUCUUUCGGGGCACGGGAUCGCAGCUUCAUGAUGAUUUUCCGCUUGUGGCAGAACGCGCUGAUGGACAAAUCCUUGUCCCCCAAAGAAUUGUGGCACAUCGUGCACCAGUGUUACGGCACCGAGCUAGGCCUCACAAGCGAAGACGACGACUACGUCUCGCCAACCGCCGAACACAUGAACGGCCUGCUGCCUGGGGAAGAGUCUGUGUCCGUCAGCGAUCUUCUGGACCUCAGUUCGGUGUCACUUCCCUCCUCGGGCAGCUCCCCUCCGCCACUGGUGCCCUGCAGUCAGGCUAGCCCACCCUCAACGACCACCGGUGCGGUAGGCUUGUCCCCGCCAUCCACGACCUGCUGCCUGCCCAUCGAGGUGCCCUCCUCGUCGGGUCGCCGUCUUAGCUCGGAUCCCUCGGAACCCAGCCCGCCCAACUCUCACGGCUCGGCGGCAUCUGCCGCGCCCACCAACGUCUCCUCUAACCCAGAGGAGGGCGGGGACAGUCUGUCCGAGUCGGCCAAUCACUUGGCGCCCCUGCCUAACACCAGCCUGGGAAAUCUCUCCUCAUUGGACAUCACCAACGACGAGGACCUGCCGACCGACCCGAGCAACUCGUCCGACACACAGGAGGAGAGUGAGGUGGAGUCGUUCUGCGCCGACCUGAACGGGCGGCUGCAUGUCAACGCUGCCGUGAGAAUGAGCGUGGACAAGCUUCACGACCUGCUCUUCUCUGCUGACACACACUUUAUUCAGCACCUCUUCUCGCAGCGGCACUUUACUGACCUCACAGUGGGUGAGUGGCAGCGAGACGGCAGCAGCGGGACUACCAGCCGUGUGCUCAGCUACACCAUCGCACUCAACAACCCUCUCGGACCUAAGACCGCCCCCGUGGUGGAGACACAGACACUGCACAAGAACAGCGCUCAGGGUGAAUGCUAUGUGGUGGACUCGGAGGUGAUCACGUCGGGCAUUCCAUACCAAGACUACUUCUACACCGUGCAUAGAUACUGCCUCACUGCCAUCAACAAGAACAAGAGCCGCCUCAGAGUUUCCUCCGACAUUUGCUAUAGGAAGCAACCAUGGAGUUUGGUCAAAACUCUGAUUGAGAAGAACACAUGGAGCGGUAUCGAGGAGUACUACCGCCACAUGGAAAGCGAGGUGUGCAAAUUAGAAACGCUGCUUCAGUCCGAGGUGACCGUGGUGUCGGCAGGAGACGGCACCAGCGCUGCCGAGGCCGCUAAGACACCGACGGCCUUGCGACGACGCAAGCGCACCUGCUCACGCCGCCAAGGGGACCGCGAGCGGGACGGAGGGGCCGCCAACGAGCGCGGAGAUAGGAGUAUCGGGGAGGAGCGAGAGCGCAGGGACGCCGGUGCUCAGUACAUGAAGCUGGGAGAGCGUGCACGUGGUGCAGCGCAGAACAGCGUCUCUACUAUCCUACUCAUCGUCAGUUUCAUGUAAGUAUCAGAAAGGAUUGAGUACGCUAAUUUUUGGAGUUAUGAAUUAAUUUUCCACACUAAAUAGAGGCCUUAAGAGAUCAAAGCCAUCUAAGAACACUCCCAGGAAAAAAGUUCAACUGUGUAAACUUGUGCCAAAAUCAGUCCAGCCGUUUCGGAGUCUAUAGGGAACAAACACACGCAGACACUACACACACAGACAGUUCCAUUUAUAUACAGGUAGUCCCCGGGUUACAACGUACCCGACUUACGUGAUUUCGACUUUUUAUAAAUGUUGACUUUUUUGGUAUUGUGAUGCAUGCUUUUAUUUUGGCGCAGGGAGGGUAGAGCAGGUAGUACUUCCGCACACGAGUAAAGGAACAUCUACACGCGAAGAACGUAAUCGCGUACACAAAGAAGAGUGCACGUACACACGAAGAACUUAAUUGCGUACACAAAGAAGAGUGCACGUACACACAAAGAACGUAAUUGCGCACACACAAGGAAGAGUGUACACACAAGGAAGAGCCAUUUGCUCCCACGAAGAAGGGGAGAGAGCUGCAAGCCUGCGCGCCCAUUUAUUGCUUGUGAAGCAACCACAGAAGCAACACCUUUUGUACUGUUUAUUGUGUUUUCAAUUGUGGUCUAAUACUUGGAGAGAGUUCAUGUGAUUGUUUUUGAUGAUGUGUGGAUGCUAACUGAUAAAUGCUAAAUGUUUGUGUGGAAUGUUAUCGCUGUAUCAGCAGCUAGUUAUGAAUGCCAAUUUGAGUUGCUGUUAUUGAAGAUGAAACUGAUUUAAUUCAGUUUUUAUUUUAGUUUCAUUCUGUAAUAGCUGAUGUCAUGUCAGCAAACCACACGGACGUCUGACAUCGUCAUUUCGGAGUUUAGCUCGCUGGCUAGCAAGGAUUUAGCUCCAACGUCUUGGCGAGGACAGUAAAAUGACGUAUGUUUCUGGAUGGUUAUUUUGAGAUAUAAGGGUUAUUUAGGAGUGCUUAAAGGGUUAAUUCUGUCUCGCGUGGAAAUUCUGGUUACGUCACCAGCGUAGGAACGGAAUUCAUUCGUAAUCCGGGGAGUACCUGUAAAAGUAUAGAUUAGGGAUGUCUCGAUCCGUUCAUGUGAUCACGCCAUUUUUCCAGAGCAUCAGAAUCGGGUGAAAGGGAUCGUUUUUAAUUCAAGAAAUAUAUUUGUUUUUCUGCUUCAUGCUUGCCACUGCCUGUCACCCUCCCUCCUGCUAAGCAGUGCGGCCAAACUGUCCAGUUUCCGUUUGGUACUUAAAGUAAUGAUGAUUGACAGGUUUAUAGCUUUGAUCUUGCUAUAGAAGCUUAGUAGCUCUACGAUCAAAGGCACUAAUGUGUCAAUCAUCGUUAAACUUGCAUACGUGUGCUGUGGCAACUCAUUGUGUAAGUGAGAGACUGUUCUCAGCAGCGUGAGUGGGUUUGAGUGGACUCGCUCAAUGAAGCAUUUAAUAAAGGCAAACAUUUUUCUACUUUAUUAUUGCUUUAAAAAUAAUUAAAAUAUGAAGGCGGCACGGUGGGGGACAGUAACAUGUUUAGAACUUUUUAUCCAGGAUGGGGACUUAGUAUUGUCAGAUUCUCAAAAUAAUGGUGACUCUGACUUGGGUGCAAAAAUGUGCGAUCGGGACAUCCCUAGUAUAGAUAAAAUUCAAGUAACUCAUUCACUGUUAUUACUGUUAAUGACUGCCCAACCCAUUUUAAAUGGGAGACCAUUCACAGCCCUCCCAGCUUAAACGGAUUAACGUCUAUUGUCGUCAUUUGCAGCCAAUAAGCGGAAAUGUAAUAACUCUAGAUUAGUACAUAUUGUCGUAUAUCAUUUUUUACUCCUUCUACUUUAAAUUGAAGAGACGCAAUUCAUCAGAAAAUAUACAAAUGAAUAUCACAACUAGCAUUUUUAGCUCUUGUGCGUACUAACAGCCUCAUGAGUUUCUCCCUUUGUCUCUCCUCGGGCUCCACUUUGUGUGUAGGAUCUGUAUCAGGUACGGAAUAAAGGAUUUUUACUUCCUCAAGCCACGCUUUGUUACAGGAAACGUCUUACUGAAAUAAUUGGACUCAUUGUGCAAUUAAACCCAAACGUACUCAAUUUUCCUGUAAGGAAGUUCCACUGUGAUUCUGGUGGUGCUGGUGGCGCUCAACAUGCUGCUAUUCUACAAACUGUAUUCUCUGGAGCGGGCCGCACACACACUGGAGACGUGGCACUCGUUUUCAGUGGCAGACAG